rnacentral:rRNA from 1 species
UACGUAGGGUGCAAGCGUUCAUCGGAAUUACUGGGCGUAAAGCGUGCGCAGGCGGUGAUGUAAGACAGGUGUGAAAUCCCCGGGCUUAACCUGGGAACUGCAUUUGUGACUGCAUCGCUGGAGUGCGGCAGAGGGGGAUGGAAUUCCGCGUGUAGCAGUGAAAUGCGUAGAUAUGCGGAGGAACACCGAUGGCGAAGGCAAUCCCCUGGGCCUGCACUGACGCUCAUGCACGAAAGCGUGGGGAGCAAACAGG